ACUUGGGUUCGAAUCUUGCCGCCGCCCUGACCAGGAGUCUUCCUAACAGAGUUCCCCGGGAGCCACGCCCCGGCCCUGGAAGUCAAGCACGGAUACCGGGUUCUCUUCUGGGAUUCUAGGCAGUGCUUCUUGCUUAGGCGCCAGGUCCGCGUUCUCGCCUCCGACCGUCGCGCGCCUCUCCACUGGCCAGCGUUGCUAUGGCAGCGCCGCAGGCGGGGAUGCUGAGGCUCGCAGUAGCCCUUUUGUGAGGCGCGGGGGAGAUGUGCACCCCACAUCUCUCUGCUUGAGUCCUGGACCGCAAGAUGGGUGCUUAUCCGUGCGCCCCACCCCACCCCCACGCCCGAGGCCGGGUGCGGCACCUCCGCCCGCCAGCCGCUCCUGCAUUAAAAUUUCAUGGGCGCUGCAGUAAACGCGAAGACGACGCCGGCUGCGCUGGGGGGCCGUAGGGAGGGAGGCUGCGGACCAGUAUGGGGAGGAGUUUGCGAGGGGAGGCGCUUGCAGGACUCCCCCAGUUCUGUUAAGAGCUAGGCACAAAGAGCCCUUUACACUCCAGCCGCAGGAGCGAGGAGCCGAGCUAGAUGCACAUGGGCGUGGGGACUCCCGGUACACAUCAACCCACAAGGUUAGCAGCCCUUACCCUUCCUCCACUUAUGGGACUCAUCCCAGAGCUGGGGCGUCCAGCGCAGCCUCAAACCCAGGGCAUCUCUGCACUCUCACUGCGACAUCGCUCUGGAUGCUGACUGCACAUCCUCGGGGAGUCACUUCUUUGGCACAACAGUCUCGAGAGGUGGAUCUCACUAUGUAGAUUAGGAUGGCCUGGAACUCAGAGUUCUGCAUCUGCCUUCCAAGCAAUGGGAUUAAAAGGAUGCUUAUAAUCACCUACUGUGCCUGGCUGGAGGCGUGUCUAUUCUCAUCACAUGGAUGUGGCUGACUUGUCUCAGUGGUACCUGGACGGGAAGCUGGGAUCCAGGCGGUGGAGGUCAACGGCUUUACCAAGUUGGCUCUGUCACAACACAGGGACUGUGCCUCCUGAACGUCAAGAGUUCCUGCUGGUUUCCAGGUGACAGAAGAGUGGAUGGAUUUGGGAAAAGUCCUAGCCACCCUGAGAAGCAGUCUUGCAGAUAAGUACCUGGUCACCAGUCCACCUGCUCCUGCUCUCAGCUGGUGCAUGAGAGCAAGGGUCAGCUCUGGAACCCCCAAAGGGAGGGUGGGUGGAUGUCCUGCCAGCUGGUGCAUGAGAGGAAGGGUCAGCUCUGGAACCCCCAAAGGGAGGGUGGGUGGAUGUCCUGUAACUCUGGCUCUUGAAGAUGCCAUCUUCAAGUUUGAACAGGCUCCUCGGUCUUGCAGACACAUGGGGACCUCCUCAGGGUUCCCUGUGGGAGACGUUCCUCUACUCAGCUCCAAGCUUCUGUGACAGGAGGCUCUAAGAACAGCUACGAGAUGUCUCACCUUCCCUGGCUCGGGGUUUGGUGGACAGGUGUAGCAUAACUGUCAGGACAGAGCAAACCUGAGUCCUGGGAUGGGAUUCAGGGUACACUCCCUUCUCUCCUCGACCCUGGUGACUUGCAGUGGUCGGCACAAGCCCUGCACCCUUUGGCCACCUGUUCUUUGUUGUGGGAGUCACAAGAAAGGAUGUGGACUGAGGUGGGCAGAGGGAUGUUUUCAUUUCCCAGCCAUGCCUCGAAUGGCCACUAUAGUACCCUUGUGUGACAGGGCAGGGAUCCGAGAGAGGCACAGGCUUCCAGCAGCCAGGAUAAUACUAAGCUCAGAGUAUAUCCCGAUGCCCCCCACCACACCCCUCUGUUGUCCCUUAGCUGCCCAUUUAGCUCUGAGUUUUCCUGGGUCACACAAGAACCCACAAGGCUCUAGGUGUCAGAGAAGGAGGAGGCAGAUGGUUCCUGAGCCAAGGCAGGGCUUGGGCAUGGUCAUCUUGUGGGGGCAGGGAUGGGGUGGGGGCUGGCUCUUCUGUCUUCCAGAGUCAUCCUGUGAUGUCUGUGGGGGAGGAGCUAGGAGCUGGGCCUUCCAUGAUGUGGAUGAUGUAAUGAUGGCAGGUGAUGAUGCUGGGUGUCCUGGGGUGAAUGACAGAGAGAUGGUCCCACCCUCUAAGGUCUUCAAGUAUGAAAACACAUCACCACAGCUCAGCAAGCGGACAGCUCUACACAUCUCCAGAUCCUGAUCUGUCUUGAAGCCCUGGGGAUCCUUUGGAUUCUGACCUCCUGGAACUGGGGAGCAACCUGUGUCCCUGAAGACCCCGUCCUUCCCAGUACCUGAGACGGAGCUCCUUGAAGAAGAGCCAUUCCUGGAAGAUGUACAACUUAGGAUUCACCCUGCCUUUGAUGGACAGCUCCAGGGGGUUGGGGGAGGGGCAUCGUAGGCCCCUCCUCAUCCCAUGCCAACUGGAAUCCUCCAGUCUCUGGAGAUGGGGUGGAGCUAGGCCCCCUCCUGGCCACAGGAUGGUGCCUCAAAGGACCUGUGGGUAGGGCAGGGACUCCGUGGGCUUGGAGGAGGAGCCGCUGGGGAGGAGCCCAAUGUCUGUCUUUGUCUGUUUUUCUUUCUUUUUUUGCCUCUUCCUUUCCUUUUCUUUUUUUGUUUGUUUGCUGCUUGAGAGAUGAAUCUGUUUAGGUGCUCCCUGGAUGAGGUUUAGCUCCCUGCUGCUUGUGGGAAGAGGGCAGCCCGCCAGUCCUGGCCUGGGAGGAGCCUGGCUAGGCCUUGCCUUGUGCUAUCCAGCACAGGAAGAGAAAGAGGGCGCUCUAAGAAAACCAGUAGGGAGGUUCACAGGCAGAGGCAGAACCACAACCCCACUUCCUCCAGUCACUGGAGAAUGUACUGCACCCUGUCUGUGGUUACACAAGCUUUGUGCAGGACAUGGGGGUGCUCAGCCAGCACCCCAAUCCAUAUUGCAUAGCUUCAGAGGGACAGAGGCUGCCAGACGCUCCCUCCUCAGGAUGCAGUGCCCAGUAUAACCUGUCCGUUCUCCACCUAUUGUCACAGACUGUCCUGGAGGAGAACUCCCAGUGUGUGGUCUUCAUUGGGACAGUCUAGAAACAGGAAGCCCUUGACUGGGGUGGGGGUGGGGCGGUUGCUUAUUUAUUCUUCAUCCUGGGCUGUGGUGUUCAACCCCAGAGACUCUUGUCACAGGGCUUGAGGCUGGCAAAGCAAGACCAAAGUGCCAGCAGUAGCUUAUGUCUUCACGGGGCCUGAGUGAGUGAGGUCCCAGGGAUUUGUCCAUAAGGGUGACGGUCUUGCCAUUUCCGGACCCGAGCUUAUGACCUCAUCUAAGCUUAGGCACAUCCUUGUCUCUCUGCCUUCACAGAGGGGCUGGGGACUCAGCCAGUGCCUCUUGGGAGGACUCUGACAGGGUGGUCUCACAAACAUGAGCAGCCAGUCUCCCCUUCAGGGUUCCUCACAUAAGGAGGAACAGGUGCACGUAAGAUGGGUACAGGGUUGCUGGCACUGUGCCAGGUGUCUUGGGGAUAUACAUGGUGGCUACAGCCAGUACAGAGCCAGCUCAGGUCUCAGGGAACCCUCUAGAAGCCCCCUUGUCUCCACCAGCUUUGAUUUCCACAUGUCAUAUGGGUCACAUGCUCUCCUGGUGGCCCACGCAGCUCUCAGACAGCCCUCUGUCUGGCUCAGUGCUGGGCUCUCAGUAGAUGUGCCAUUCAGUUCUGUUCAGUGGGAGUGUAGGGAGUUUAGGUGAGGGUUCAUCUGGGUUGGGUGCUGUCUGAUCCAGAGGUGUUUCUGGCUGGGCCACUCGGGUCUGCCUUGUUGACCAGUUUGGGACAGCGGCCCCCUUUGGUCUCUGUUGUAGCUUGCCGCAUUUUCCAGAAGGAGAGGAACCUUGUUUCCUGCUAGAACAUGGAUUCCAUCAUGGUUCUCUUUUUGGUGAGCUAUCUUGGGAAAUGCAGGUGCUGUCCAGCGGAGCCUCAGACAUUUUCAGUUUCUUAGUCAGUAGAGAGAAGCUGUGUCCAGGGGAGAACUAGACAAUAGGCAGUCAAGAGAGGCCAGCCUGGGAGAGAGAACCCCCAGCCCUGGCACAAGUGAGGGAGAGGCUUCCUCAUCAGGCUGACCCCUGCCAGGGCUCUGGAGGAUGAGAAUGCUGUGGCUUGGCUGAGUGCUUUCGGGAAGAAAUUAAAGCAAAAUUCAAAUAGGUGAGAUACAGCUCGGGACUCUUCAGUGCCGGGAAGUGCUAAUGAGCACCUCAGACACCCAGGCUGGGGCCAACGGAUGAAACAUUUUGUCUUUGUUGGCUACAGAAUAAUUUUCUUACCAAAUAGCUAGAAUGCUGGGAGACACAGGUUGGGCUUUAGAUGUGUUAGGAGUGAUAGGGAGGAUAAUUAAGGUGUGCUCAGGUGGCCUAGUGUCUGUCGCCUGGGAGGAAAGAGAAGCUGGAGGGGUGGGCGUUUGGGGAGUCUAAGCUUUUCCUUGCAGUUCCUUCUUUGUAGAGGAGGGUAGGGUAGGUCAGUGGUGAGAGCAGCCAGAGGCCCACGAGUCGUGGUGGUGGAAGAGAGAUGUUCAUCUCCAAGCACAGCAGCUCUAGGGGUGGGGUGUGGGGUGCAGGGUUAGCUGUUUUGUGGAAAGACGCUAGCCUGUGUGUGUGAGUGUGUGUAUGCACAAGUAUGUGAGAUCAUCCUUCUGGGAAGAGGCUGGCCACAACCAGGCAGGGGGUUUGCACUGAGGACGAGCUGGGUACGUUUUUUUAGCAGAUCUGAAGUGUCUGUGGAGCUCCGAGACCCACAGCCUAGAAACAGAAGCUCUGGGCUUCCAGCGUGGGUCAUUGAGGUCAGGGUUGAUUGCUGCGGUGGGUGCUGAUGGGAAUAGAGGCAGACCCCCUGCCCUGGUCAGGUUCCAUGCCCAGGCUGCUGGGGACAGGAGGCCUGUGGUGGGUUGGGGCGGGGGUGAGAGGGGAAGGCUGCAUGGUGUGAUUAACCUACUAACCAACCCAGGGCUCGGCCAGGACGCUGUGGCACGCGACGAGAUGCCUGGCCUUCUGCCAACCGACUAAUCCACUAACCUGGCCCGAGCAUGUCCUACUAACCCCGCAGCAGCCAAUCCCUACUAACUCUGCAGGCCAGGGGCCUUCCAAGAGGCUGGGACGUGGAGCAGACGAGACUCAGGAAGGCCCUGCCUGGGAGCUGGGAUCUUUGUGCAGACCCAUCCUGAAGGGCAGGGCAUGCUAAGAGACUCACCAACUCUGCCACUUGCUGCUGGCGGAAUGGGACCCUUCUACUUCCCUUGGUGCCCAUGGUGAGGUGACCGAGGUGUUGCCACAUGGCAGGGACUUCAAAAUGGAAAAACACGCUGAGGGCGGGCUGCAGGGGACUCGGUGGUGCAUCCAUUCUCUGAUCUCGGGUGUUCUGCACACAGACCCUUCUACCUGGGGCAGACACGUGCUUUGAACCUUUAACGUCUCUUCCCUUUCUCCCCUCUUGCCAGCUUUCUCUCCCAUAGGCAGCUCUUUUGAUUACUAAUUGUCUAACCCCGGGGCAGGGCACCCCACUCUGCAUCCCGCCGCCCCUUAACUAACGGCCCCCCCGGCUGCCUUCUUCUCUCUAGUGGCUCCUGUGUGUGUCUGCUGCUGCUGUGUUCUGACCUACUAACCUGGCCCUACUAACUGGUUUCUCUUCUUACUAACCCAGCCCUGCCGAGCUCUGGGCCUCCUGGGGGCUGGUCCCUCCUUUUGGCAAGCAGAUGUCCCCAGGCUGUCCAGGCCAGGUCUGAGGCAGGGGACAGCCGUAUUAGUGACGCCCAGAGGAGGAGGAGGAGGAGGCUGUCCUGUGGGCGUGGGACGCUGGACUCCGAGCAUGACCUCUCUCCUCUGUGCACAAGUCUGGUUGCCACCAGGAGUGGAUGGGACCAGGGGAUCUCGUGGAAACCAUUGUAGUGCCCGUGGCUCUAGAAUUGGCAAUUCUGGGCCCUACCUAGUUGGGGCCCUCUGUGAUUUAGGGCAGGGAGAAAGGGGUAGGAAGGCCAGGGGCUGGCCAUCUUAUACAGGAGCUCAAAGGUGUGUGUCUGAACCUGAAGCCCUACCUGGAAGCUUAUAAGUGAGUUUCCUAAGCAGGAAGCAUGUGAGGGUGCAUUUCCCUGAAAAGCAAAACAACAACAACAAAAACCAACAGAGCAGAGUCAGGCUUUUCCUAUGUGAAGCUUGAUGAGAGGACAUCAGGAAGUCUGUAAGAUGGCCUUUCUCUCAGCCUGAGAAGAGAUGGCCGAUGACCAGUAAGAAGAGUCUCCACAGAGGCUGUCAGCUAGCCAGGCCUUUCCCACCGAGAGGGGUGGGAAUCUCAAACUGGAAGUCUAUUUGGGACCAUUUUCACACAGGAAGUAGGCGUGAAGAUAUUUUUUUCCUCAGGAAGUGUUUAGAAACACUCUCUCCACACUUAGAGAGGACAGGACCCACAGUUGGGGAAACAGGCACCACGACAGGCCCUUAGGGAUUAGGGGAGGAGCAAAUGGGUGCCAGGAAGUGAAUCCUAAAGGCCCACAGGCUGAUUGAUGGGCAGUCACCCCAGCUCCUUGUCUGGUUUAUACCCAUGCCUCUGCCCCAGCCAGCCUCCCCCAGAGCCCGCCAGCUGCUAAGCCAGGGCCACACCUGGGGGUGAUUUCAUGCCUCACCUCCAGUAGGCUCAUGGCCUCUCUGGGCUAACCUCUGGCUCCUUUGCACUAACUCUAGCUCUCCCCCAGCUAAUCCCUGCCUCUCCCUGGCUGCCCCAGGGGCUGAGCACUAGCAGCCAGCCCCGCCCAUCCGCGGGGCUCCAGGCUCCUGGCCUGGCUUUGGCUCGUUCUUUUGAACCACCCUUUCCUCUGGACUAAUGUAUGCCUUUCUGGUCUGUUCCUUCUGACAGAAAUGAAUGGCUGUGGAUUUCUCUCUGACUAACAGGUCUCACACUCCUCUCCCUGUUACCACUAACGGCUUGGAUGGCGGCGUGGCUGGCGAGGGAUGGGCGGAGGUUCUGAGCUUGGUUGGUAUGGAGAGGAUGUAGCUAGGGAGAGUAGACACGUGACCAGUCUGGGUCAGAGCUUCCAAAUGUCAAAGUGGUAACGGGCUGAGGUGUGGCUCAGCCCAGGAGAAAGGAAACUGUCUACUGAGCAUCUUGGUGGAGUCAGACAUACAGCCAGCCUUCUGUGGGUGUGGCCACUGGCUCCAUCCAUAGUCUUACAAUCUGCGUUGGCCGUUAGCGCCUGUAAACUACACUAUCGGUUCUUGUAAGCAGUUCUAUAAGCAGUUCUUAGCUCAUUCAAGAGCCUAAGACACCUGUCUGCUGGGCCCAAUUUGUUCUAUAUGGACUCGUUGAGCACAUAGGGCAUAGACUAGAGUCCUUGUUUAGAAGACUUAAAUGGUUUUGGCCCUAUGAUGACAUCAAGCUCCAGAUAGAAAUAUCCAGAAGGGCUGUAAAUUCUCUAUCGCUUACAUCCCAGAGUAAAAUAGCUCGGACUUUACCUCUAAGUCUUCUAAGGUAGCUCUUUUACACAGGGUAGGUGUGCGGCUGGCAGGGAGUUAGAAACCCUUAAGGCAAAGGAAAGUCCUCUGGAAGCAGGGACAGAAAGCCAGGAGGAUAGGAGACCCUUGUGGAGCUGGGGGUGACACCAGGGUGACGUGGACAAGAGAAGAGAGCUUGUUUCAUGGAGUGGCCUGAAGGUCAGAGCCUAGAAUGCUGGAGGCUCAGGGACAGGCUGCCUGGGCAAUGGGUGCUGCGAGUGCUGCUUACCCACUGGCUUAGGGCUGGCUCUAGAGAUGCCAGGGAGCCUAAAGAGGGGCCUGAGCCACAGAAGAAAUGGAGACACCCUAUAGGAUCGGGAGUUUACCCUCCAGGUACGGCUUGUACUCGCUGCUGCCCUCUCAUGGCCAAUCUGCCACAUUUCACCAACAACGCCCAGAGAAAGGCUGCGCAGGGCUCUGCUUCAGAUACUGAGUCUAGAGGGAAGCCUUCUUCACAGAAGGUGUGACAGGGUACCGGUUUGGGACAGUAGCUGGUCCUCAGUGGCUGUAAUUAUGUGUGAUGGGUCCGGGACACUGAAGGGGGCAGGGAUCAGGAGAGCUAAGAUGAGGUAGAUAGGGAGGGCUUGCUGAAGAGGGAUCAUGCCAGCUAAACCUUGACAGGUAGGGAGGUCAUGGCUGGAUACAAGCCACACUCGAUUUAGGAUUAGAGAGUCUGGGAGAUUCCUGGUGAAGUGUAUCCAGUGAGAAGCUCAGGAUGUGGCAAGCCCCAGGCCCUGCUGGCUGCAAACAUGGACUUCAUCCCUUGGGAUGCCAAACAUACAUAGUCUACAACUGUAAUCCAGCACUAGCACAUUAGAGACGAAUCUCCGUGCUCUGCCUGCCUGCCUAGUUAGCAUCAUAUGGUCUGAGAGAGAGGGUGGCAGGGGCAGAGUUCUCAGGCUGCCCUGCUGAUAUCAGCCUGGGUGGGGCAGGGAGGAGCUUGCAUGUGUGCUGGCCAUGUUAUAGAAAGCACCAGAACCCCUGGUAGCUGGGAAGAUACUUCCAUCCAUCUGGAGAGGAGUGGGGUUCGUGCGAGAUCCCCGGAAAGCAAGGGACUGAGGGGACAGCGAGGAACUUAAAACUUAAACACAGGCUUCGAUGGUGUACGUCUCCUCCAGAAGAUCUGGGGUAGGUGCUGUUGGCAGUGAUUGUGUGUGUGUGUGUGUGUGUGUGUGUGUGUGUGUGUGUGUACAGUUGCAUGAGAGAGAGAGAGAGGUGGUAGGGAAAAGAGAGACUAUAACUUGAGAAAACUGAGUCCCUGAGGCUCCUUCUAAUCCCCUGCAUCCGGGCUGCACCUGCCCCCUAAUUCCGUUGAAGUUUAGGUUUGUUUUGAGCAGGACCCUGUGGGUGUAGAACUGGCCUGCUGUCUGAAGAGGUCAUAGCCUGCUUGGAGAGAGGAGCCACGGCCGAUCCUCCCCGAGGGUGGGGCUGGAGGCAGUGAGGAAAACCUGGAGAUGCUCAGGUUGGGAGCUGGGGUGCAGCCACUCUGGAAUCUGUUUAGGACACCCAUUGUUUUAUAUCAGCAAAGAUGUCUGUUCCAUGUUGUUUCUGCUGGGGGAUGCUGAGUGUGGGCCCUCCAAACCUGAUGUUGAUUUAAAAAUGUAGAUCUUUCCAUGGGUCCAGCUACAGUUAUGGGGUCUUUUGAUUUUCAUGCUUGUAGCUGCCUCUGUGUAAGAUGCCAUUUUGAUAUUAAAACCGGCGCACACUG